rnacentral:rRNA from 1 species
GACGAACGCUGGCGGCGUGCUUAACACAUGCCAGUCGAACGGAAAGGCCCCUUUGGGGGUCCUCGAGUGGCGCACGGGUGAGUAACACGUGAGUAACCUGCCCUUGACUUCGGGAUAACUUCAGGAAACUGGGGCUAAUACCGGAUAGGAAUCCUUGCUGCAUGGUGGGGGUUGGAAAGCUUCGGCGGUUUUGGAUGGACUCGCGGCUUAUCAGCUUGUUGGUGGGGUAGUGGCUUACCAAGGCUUUGACGGGUAGCCGGCCUGAGAGGGCGACCGGCCACAUUGGGACUGAGAUACGGCCCAGACUCCUACGGGAGGCAGCAGUGGGGAAUAUUGCACAAUGGGCGGAAGCCUGAUGCAGCAACGCCGCGUGCGGGAUGACGGCCUUCGGGUUGUAAACCGCGUUCAGCAGGGGCGAAGCUUGUGGUGACGGUACCUGCAGAAGAAGCACCGGCUAACUACGUG